UAGGCCCAGAAGAAUGGCAUUUCUGGAUUGUCUGGACCCCCUGGAUCAUCUCCUCUGCUGAAGCACAAAGAGCCAGGCCUCCAGAGAAGACACAAAAGUUCCUUCUUCGACUGAGGGUAAGUUUCUUAGCCUCCCGCCUGUUUCCUCAUUGCAUAACAGGACUGCUUCAGUGCCCACCCUCAGAGUAUGAGGGUCGGAUGAGGAAAUUCGCCUGUGUAGGAUGCCAUCUGUCCCCUGAAUGUCUACAUGUCAU
rnacentral:lncRNA from 1 species